CUCGUUUGUUUCCUCAUUCGCUGAAGAACUGCUGUGGGCCAGCCAGUGGGUGCAGAAGGUCUUAUACCCCUGCAGGUGGAGCAGGAAGGAGAACUCGUGAAUGAGUGAGGCUCGCAGUCCUGGAAUACGUGCACUCCAGAGGAAGAGCAAGGCUCUCGUGGGCUCCCCACCACCUCAGAAUAGAAAGGAUUUCCUGGAGAGGAGGUGAGAAAGUCAUGGGAAUCUUUGGAGAAGAAGAGGGUCACAGGAAUGGGAAUCUGUGUUCU
rnacentral:lncRNA from 1 species